rnacentral:SRP_RNA from 1 species
GCCAGGCACAGUGGUGAGUGCCUGUAGUCCUAGCUACUCGGGAGGCUGAGGUGGGAGGAUCGCUUGAGCCCAGGAGUUCUGGGCUGUAGUGUGCUAUGCCAAUCGGGUGUCUGCACUAAGUUCGGCAUCAAUAUGGUGACCUCCCGGGAACAGGGACCACCAGGUUGCCUAAGGAGGAGUGAACUGGCCCAGGUCGGAAACGGAGCAGGUCAAAACUCCUGUGCUGAUCAGUAGUGGGAUUACGCCUGUGAAUAGCCACUGUACUCUAGCCGGGGCAACAUAACAAGACCCCAUCUCU